UACAGAGGUGGCAAGCGUUGUUCGGAAUUACUGGGCGUAAAGGGCGAGUAGGCGGCCUUCUAAGUCAGACGUGAAAUCCCCCGGCUUAACUGGGGAACUGCGUCUGAUACUGGAUGGCUUGAGUUUGGGAGAGGGAUGCGGAAUUCCAGGUGUAGCGGUGAAAUGCGUAGAUAUCUGGAGGAACACCGGUGGCGAAGGCGGCAUCCUGGACCAACACUGACACUGAUGAGCGAAAGCCAGGGGAGCAAACGGG
rnacentral:rRNA from 1 species